GGAGGCGGGGCGGGGCCGGGCGGGGCGGAGGCGCGUGCCGCGAGAGGCCCCGUGAGCGCGCAGACGAGACAUUGCGUGUGCGUGAGCGCGCACUCGGCAGAGCCCCCGCUGAAGGAACAGGCCGGCAGAGACUGCGCAUGCGGAGAAGGCCGCCCGCCUCCGCGAGCCCGCGCAGGCUCAGACCCCGAGCCGAGGAGCGGGGCAGGGCACCCAGGAGGGAGUAGGAGAACCUGGAUGGAGGCCGGGUCGAAGGUCAGGGCCUUUUCGUGGCCGCCGUGGCACGGAUCCCUACCUGAACACUGCAGGUGACUUUUACCCUGGGAUUCAGAAAUGUCUACAGGACUGAGCCUGGGCCCGCUAAAGAGUCAAGUUGCCAAGUCCUGUCAGUUUUCUCUUGGAUGAAGUCUUCCAUUUCCACAACUGCUGCUCUUGUUCAGGGAACAGAAUAGCCACAAGACUGGUUUCCCAAA